AGAGAUGUGUGAUGACGCAUAUCAAUAAGCGGAGGAAAAGAAACUAACAAGGAUUCCCUUAGUAACGGCGAGUGAAGCGGGAAGAGCUCAAAUUUCGAAAUCUUCAAGGUUUUACCUUGACGAAUUGUAGUUUAAAGAAGUGUUUUUCUGUUGGAGUUUUGGUAAAGUUCUUUGGAAUAGGACAUCAUAGAGGGUGAGAAUCCCGUAUUUGACCAUUAUUUCCAGCUGUGUGAUACACUUUCAAAGAGUCGGAUUGUUUGGGAAUGCAGUCCAAAAUGGGUGGUAAAUUUCAUCCUAAAGCUAAAUAUUGGCGAGAGACCGAUAGCGAACAAGUACCGUGAGGGAAAGAUGAAAAUGAACUUUGAAAAGAGAGUUAAACAGUACGUGAAAUUGUCAAAAGGGAAGCGUUUGACACCAGUGUUGUUUUCUCGAAAAUCAAUUAAAAAUGAUGGGAUUUUGUGUUGUAUUGACUUUAUCAGCUUUCUGCACUUUUUUCUUAUCUUUUUUAAUGCACUUUUCGUUUAACAAGUCAACAUCAAUUUCUUUUGUUGUAAAAGAGUCAUUGGAAGGUGGCUUUUUCUUCGGAAAAAGUGUUUAUAGCCUUUGGCUUCUGCAAUCGGAGAGAUUGAGGUCUGCAGCGUAGAUCCUUCGGGGUUAGAUACAUUUGUGCUAAGCUAUAGUUCUUUAUAGACAACUUGUUGACUAUAAUCAAUCCUGUAACUUACUCGCUUAUGCUAUUUUACCUACGCUUAGGAUGUUGAAGAUGUAGCACAUCAU
rnacentral:rRNA from 1 species